rnacentral:rRNA from 1 species
AUGUCAAAGUGCACCACAGUCAAGUUCAUGGCGAAGUUUCUUGUUGUGGCAAGUGGUGAGAAUAGUGCAGAGAAUAUUCCAAUGUUCCCUGGACUGGAAAACUUUCCAGGUGAUGUUAUCCACUCCUCAAGCUACAAGUCAGGCAAGAGCUACUCUGGCAAGAAUGUAUUGGUCAUUGGAUCUGGCAACUCCGGGAUGGAAAUUGCUUAUGACCUUGCGACCCAUGGUGCCAACACAUCGAUUGUUAUACGAAGCCCGGUACGUACGUGCACUAUAUAUUUUCACUGGGUGCAUGAACGCAAAUUCUUAGUAUAG